rnacentral:misc_RNA from 1 species
AACGCACAUUGCGCCUCCUGGUAUUCCGGGAGGCAUGCCUGUCCGCGCACAUAAUGGCUCAUUCAGGGUGACCAGGGUUGCUUUGGUACUGAAGGUCGAAUGUUGCUAAUAUGUUCGUCUUUAAAAUUUACAGGCGGGCGACUUCAAGUUCUUUCUCAGCGUUGUAAGUUAACUCUUUCGCUUAGGAAUUGAUGGUUUGUCCAGCCUCGAAACCUCCAACUACCCAGUGGAUGGUCGCGGAUCAGGUAGGGAUACCCGCUGAACUUAA